UGUCAUAGUCCAACUUCUUAUUAUUCUUUGGCUACCGUAUUUACUUUAUAAAUCCGAGGUUUUUGUUUACUUUUUAUUUUUUCAUUUUAAAAAUAUAAAAUGGAAAAUAUUUUUCAAACUAAAUUAAAAUAUUAUUCAACAUAAAAUUCCAAUAGCAAAGAAAAUAAUAAAAAUGUUAAAAGGUCCUUGCGAACGGACUUCGUUGAUUUCAAGUUUGCUUUUUCUUAUGAUUGUUGUAUUCUGCUGGUAUUUUGUUUUAGUACCAACGUACUAAAUAUGUGUCCGGUAAGAUUCUUCACAGUUCUCACAUUUCUCGGAUGAACAUAUCUUGCGCUGUCAAACAUGUCCAAGUAAGAAAGAAGAUGUCUUCCUGUGUCAUUUGUUCUAUGCUGAUUUGUGAAAAUCUGAUGAUGAUCUCUUUCAGUUAAAUUAAUGUAUUUAAACAAAACAGAUUUAAAAAUGCGAGUAUAGCGACAAAAUUCAACGUAAACAACUGCAAGAAGUGUUAUUUUGGGGUUUAAUGUAAAUAAAUCGUGGACAUUCGUUUUAAAUUUAGGACAACUUAAGGACACAUGCCAAUCAAAUCCUCUGGAUGUCGACUUCAAUUCAAAAGAAUUUAUGGUUUACAGACCGACUUACAACAAUGCUACUUGAGUUACUCUUCUCAAAAUAUAAAUUGUACCUAAUGUCAUAUCAUAUGAUAUUACCCAAAAUAUUUGGGGUUUAGUGUGGUCCGUUUAUGAGCUGGACCGUUUUUAUGAAAAUAUUGUUAGUGCACACAAUUUUAAAUGAUUAAUUUAAAAGUUAUACGCAGCUUCAAAAAUAUUUUUGUUUUAUGAUGGUUCCCAAAAUGUUUUGAGUCUAUCGAUGGCCGAUGAGUGGUUACAAAAAAGACACUUUUUAGUAUUUUUUAAAAUUGUUCAGUUUUUCUUAAACAAUAUAUACAACAUGAGUAUAAUUUGAAUGUUUUUAUA